UUCCUGCAAGGGUAGACGGGGAGGAUGUUACUCAGGGAGCCCAGGGACAAGUGACAGAGCAGCAAGCAGAGGGAAGUCCUUGCCACUCACAUCUGCUGCCUCUCAGCCCUUCCUUCCUAGUCUAGGGAAGACGCACACCCCAACCCUGAUGCCUGUGGGACUCUCAGGCCCACAUCUCAACAAGCUUAUUCAAAACCAUUACCAAAUCUAUCUCUUCUGAAAAAUAAGUUAAACACAAGAUACAGAGCAAUUUUCCACUAGGCCAGAGCAGUAUGAACCAAGUCCAUUCAUCUCCUUUCUCUCCCAAUAAUGGCGUGAACAGCUCUGAAAUUUCAGAACGAAGCAAGUCUGAUCCAACUUCAACUGAAGGGGAGAGAGGAUGAGCCACUUGGGGCAAAGGCAAAAAGAGGGGGCAGAGAAGAUUUUGGAGUGACAGAAAAGUCCAAGAAAACAGACCAUGAACCCUAACAAGGAAAUUGACCAAUCAGCCUUGCUUUAGUGGAGAGAAAAUCAAUUACUAAGAUCCUUGCCUCAAAAACUGAGAAUAAUCAACUUCAGACAAGGAAAAACAGUAUGAAUCACCUUAGACAAAGACUCAGCAUAGAGCUGUUAGCCCCAAAUACACUGUAAAAAUGAGCUUGAUUUCCGACUCUGACGCCGCCUCUUUAUUUUUGGUUUUACGAGACCUAGUUUCUCUGUGUAGCCGUGGCUGUUCUGAAACUCACUCUAUAAAUCCUGCUAGCUGAGAAGUCAGAGAUCCUCCUGGCUCUGCGACUGCCUCUGCUGGAGCUAAAGGUAUGUGCACCUACCACUGGGCAGGAUUUUCUAAAUAUUACCAUGAUUUGCCAAGAGGAAAAACAUUAAGAGCCAAAAACUGAAAUUGUUCUAUGUAUGAAACGAUAAGCAAGAAAGGCCCACAGCUGGAUCCUACCUGAGGGGCGGGAAUGUGUUUCCCUCCGGCUGCCUGCUUCCCAGAGUCUCGGUAAGGGUUCUCGGUGACGUCCGGAGGCUGCUUUACCAGUUCGGCUACAGCCAUCAGCUUCAUGGGAACAAUACUGAAGGCAUAAAGAUACUUGAGGGGGAAAAAGAGAGAGUGUAAUGUCAGGGAAAAGGCUUGUGUCUCACUGUGACCAAUCAUGAUGACAACGUCUCUGAAAGUCUCGACUGUCGUGGCGCUACAGCAGUGUAGCACGUGCUGAUCCGACGGCCUCUGCAAUGGCUACAGAGGCUCACACAGUAAUGAGUAACAGGUCAAAGCUCCAGCCCUCACUUGGUUCCUCACUUGGAGACGGGUACAAUGGCAACCCUUACUGCAAGGGGACUUGUUCUAUCAGCCUUGAAGACAAACUGUUCCUGUCACUGCAUCUUUUGCUCGGUUGACUUUUGUCAAUAGAACCACGGAACUCCAAUUCCAUCUUCUUAAUGAACAUUCCAACUGGAAAGGGUCUUAUAUAACCUUGGAUGGCCUAGAACUCACAGAGAUCUGCCUGUCACUACCUCCUGAGCGCUGGGAUUAUAGGUGUGCACCACUAUGCCUAGUUUGGAAAAUACUCCCCACAGGAUUUUAUUAUUCCAGCUCACUAAAGCUGCUGGAAGGAGGUAUGCACAUCUCCUGAAGCAAGCUCCUGUGUAGCAACAGAGGCAAGCACAUGGAUUUGGAAAAAAGGAAGGCCUCUCCUGCACUGGCAUAUCCCAGGGAGCCACGCCUUUCUCUAAGACCGCCUACAAACCACUCAAGGAAACCUAGCCUUUACAAGGAGCCACUGAAGCUGCUGGAACUCGGGGACUACAGAGGGAUCUCAAGGCCAGAAGCUCUGAAGGCCAAGUAACCCACCAACCACUCAAAUCUUUACCUUC